rnacentral:rRNA from 1 species
AACAGCCGCGGUAAUUCCAGCUCCGAUAGCGUAUAUUAAAGUUGUUACAGUUAAAAGCUCGUAGUUGGAUUUCGGAAUCUAUCCGUUGGUCGGGCUUCACUGUCUAUACUGAUGUGAUGGGUUCUUACCUUCUGAAUAACCAGCAUGCCAUUCACUUGGUGCGCUGGGGAAGCAGGACUAUUGUUACCCUGAAAAAAUUAGAGUGCUCAAAGCAGGCUAGUGCCUGAAUACAUUAACAUGGAAUAAUAAAAUAGGACGGUAUGGUUCUAUUUUGUUGGUUUCUAGGAUCACCAUAAUGAUUAAUAGGGGCAUUGUUAUUCAAUUAUCAGAGGUGAACUCUUGGAUUUAUUGAAGACUAACUUCUGCGAAACCAUUUGCCAAGGAUGUUUUAUUGAUCAAG